AGAGUUUGAUCAUGGCUCAGGAUAAACGCUGGCGGCGUGCCUAACACAUGCAAGUCGAACGCCCUGGUGCUCUUCGGAGCGCGAGGGAGUGGCGGACGGGUGAGUAACACAUGGGUGACCUACCCCACAGUGAGGAAUACCGGCGAGAAAUCGCCGACAAGACCGCAUAGGCUUUCUUGAAUCAAGACGAGGAAGCAAAGUCGCAAGACGCUGAGGGAUGGGCCUGUGGCCGAUUAGCUGGUUGGUGGGGUAAGAGCCUACCAAGGCGACGAUCGGUAGCUGGUCUGAGAGGACGAUCAGCCACACUGGGAUUGAGAACGGCCCAGACUCCUACGGGGGGCAGCAGUGAGGAAUUUUCCGCAAUGGUCGCAAGACUGACGGAGCAACGCCGCGUGCAGGAGGACGCUUUUCGGAGUGUAAACUGCUUUUCUGUGGGACGAGGCAGGACGGUACCACAGGAAGAAGCCCCGGCUAACUACGUGCCAGCAGCCGCGGUAAUACGUAGGGGGCGAGCGUUGUCCGGAGUUACUGGGCGUAAAGGGCACGCAGGCGGUGCGGCGCGUUUCGCGUGACAGCGGAGGGCUUAACUCUCCGAGGAUGCGAAAGACGGCGGCACUUGAGGGCCAGAGAGGGACACGGAAUUCCGGGUGGAGUGGUGAAAUGCGUAGAGAUCCGGAGGAACACCGAAGGCGAAGGCAGUGUCCUGGCUGGUGACUGACGCUGAGGUGCGAAAGCUAGGGGAGCGAACGGGAUUAGAUACCCUAGUAGUCC
rnacentral:rRNA from 1 species